GCACCCGUAGCUCAGCUGGAUAGAGCGUUCGCUUGCGGAGCGAGAGGUCAUAGGUUCGAAUCCUGUCGGGUGCACCA
rnacentral:tRNA from 1 species